AGUGAACGCUGGCGGUAGGCCUAACACAUGCAAGUCGAACGGCAGCACAGUAAGAGCUUGCUCUUACGGGUGGCGAGUGGCGGACGGGUGAGGAAUACAUCGGAAUCUACUUUUUCGUGGGGGAUAACGUAGGGAAACUUACGCUAAUACCGCAUACGACCUACGGGUGAAAGCAGGGGAUCUUCGGACCUUGCGCGAUUGAAUGAGCCGAUGUCGGAUUAGCUAGCUAGCGGGGUAAAGGCCCACCAAGGCGACGAUCCGUAGCUGGUCUGAGAGGAUGAUCAGCCACACUGGAACUGAGACACGGUCCAGACUCCUACGGGAGGCAGCAGUGGGGAAUAUUGGACAAUGGGCGCAAGCCUGAUCCAGCCAUACCGCGUGGGUGAAGAAGGCCUUCGGGUUGUAAAGCCCUUUUGUUGGGAAAGAAAAGCAGCAGGUUAAUACCCCGCUGUUCUGACGGUACCCAAAGAAUAAGCACCGGCUAACUUCGUG
rnacentral:rRNA from 1 species